UCAGUCUGAUUAUUUACCGAAGAUUUCUCUGAAAAUGCUCUCUAUGGAGAAGAAGAAGACACAACAGGUUCCUAGGAAUGCUCAUCGAAUUUCAGAUCAAAACAACUCCCGUAAGCCACAUACGCAGGCCUCUCAAAAGCGUGCUCGUCUGAACUACUGAUUACUCUUGAUCGUUGUCACAAGUGGACUGGAACAAACGCCAUGUUGAAGAAUAAUCAAGGAUCUGCGAUUGACUUCUACUUGACCUGCUACUUGGCGUUUGAUAAUAAUAAAAACUCCAAUAGAACUUUAAAAUAACUAUUCGUCUUGGACUCCGAGUGUCACUUUAUCAGUAUUGCUUAUUGUUGUUGUAUUGGCGUGGGUUAUGACUUUAAAUGUGCCACUCUCAGUGUUACGCAGUCUGAUAAAAAUUGUAUUGAUAUGGUUUACAUAGUAGAAAUAAAACCAUUUAUAUUGUUUGCGUAGUACAAAUAAAUCAUGUCUCAAUGCAUGUAUGACCCGAUACUUAUUAUCAGUUUCUUAUCCGAG